rnacentral:hammerhead_ribozyme from 1 species
CAACUGCUGAGGAGUCCUACAAUAGGACGAAACGACCGUUCAGUUU